rnacentral:rRNA from 1 species
GGAAGAUGGUACCCCCAUGCGGACCUCUAUGGAUCUACUAAGGCGCCUUAAUAACCUAUCGCCGGAUGAUGGGUCGUCCGUCCUUCGUGGGAUGCAUGCACCAAGGUAUCCCCCGAAUUGCCUUCC